rfam:Paramecium tetraurelia chromosome undetermined scaffold_77, whole genome shotgun sequence.
GAAGGCUUAGCUCAGGGGUAGAGCGUUGGAUUCCAGGUCCAGGGGUCGCGCGUUCAAUUCGCGUAGUCUUCA